UACGUAGGGGGCUAGCGUUGUCCGGAUUUAUUGGGCGUAAAGAGCGUGUAGGCGGCCUGGUAGGUCUGCUGUGAAAACUCGAGGCUCAACCUCGAGAUGUCGGCGGAAACCGUCUGGCUAGAGUCCGGAAGAGGAGAGUGGAAUUCCUGGUGUAGCGGUGAAAUGCGCAGAUAUCAGGAAGAACACCUAUGGCGAAGGCAGCUCUCUGGGACGGUACUGACGCUGAGACGCGAAAGCGUGGGGAGCGAACAGG
rnacentral:rRNA from 1 species